GUCCGCUCUGUCCCCCAACCCCGGACCAGGACGCUUUAGCACAAAGAGGACAGAAACGCUGCAGAAGGAGAUGAUGAGGACAUUACCGGCUGUGAUGAUGUAAUCCAGGAUGAGGUAGACCUGUUUGCUGCUCAGGAACACCACGGCGGCCCAGCCCACACACAGCACCCAGACACAGCUGAUGCUGAGGGUUCUGAUCCGAGCUCCAGCUGUCUGCUUCAGCUCCAGGUAGCUGAUGGGCCUCAGAACGGCCAGGUAGCGCUCCACACACAUAAGGAGGUGAAGCACCGCCUGGCCGGCGCUGCUGACAGUCCAGAUGUAAAGCCCCACCCACAUCAUCAGACCGUGAUACACGUAGCCACCACAGAAGAAGAUGAUGAAACCCAGAAACGAGUCGAUGGACAUGAUGAUGGAGUGAUGGAGGAAGAGGUCAGCGUUGUGGAGCGACGAGCUCUGCCUCCUCCACAGGUGGACUCCUAAACAGAGGACAAGGAUGAACAGUGGGAUGAGGAGGAGGAGGAUGGUGAGGGAGGAGGCGAUGAAGACAGUGAUGCUCAGUGUAGUCCUGAAGCAGUCGUCCAUGACGUCAUGGAUGGAGGAGUUGGAGGAGAAGUGCGGGGGAAGGAGAGAGGAGAAGGACGAGGAGGAGUCGAACAUGAUGGAAGUUGGAGGUCCUGGUGAGGAAGAAGAGCACGGUGAGGAAGAGGAAAGCUGUGCAACUCAGUGGAAGUUCUGUAUCAACUUGAGGUGAGUUCUUUGCACAAUUUCUUCAGAGCAUUUGACAAUUAGAUCAUCCACCAACAAUGUUUACCUUACACUUCACCCACUGUGUUUUUCCUCAGUUAUCCAUGCACCUGAAGACUGAUUAUUCAUGUUCAAGACGAUCUGAACUUCUAAAUCAUUACAAACUUGAUCAUCAACACUGUGGGCGGGGCCACGCUCAUGCCCAUGCACAUAAUAAAUAUGGAAAGCUGUUGGAUUGAAGAUUGAAGAGAUUAAAUCAAUAAUGUUAAUUAUAAUUUAAAAAGCUGAUCUUCAGUGUGAAGAUGUUCUAUUUUUAUGUUGGUUCUGUGUGUGUGCUUGUUAUUUUACAGAUCAUUGCUGAGUUCCUGCGAGUUUCAACGGCACCGCUGGACAAACAUUCUACCAAACUGCUACGGGUCAUCAGGAGCAAGGGAGGACGUGUGAAAGAGCAGACCACUAGGACCGUGGAAGUUUUGGAUGAGCUAUGGUGUCAGGGACUUGCGUAAACCAGCCAGCAGAGCACGGAUGAUUUUCUUGACGUCUUAAUUUAUCACUUUUUUUUCUUUUCUCCAAAGAGGGUUCCAACCAGCACCUGACAUUACAUAACAAUGGACGUAGUAACAAGACAAUGGACGUAGUAUCAAAGGAACCCAAACUCAGGACCUGACUACAGACAUGUAGACAAAAACCUCCCUAGAGACGCAACAGGAUCAGCUCAAAUAGCGGCUGAUCAGACCACUGCCCACACACCAGGGUGGGGAGACAUCAAUGAACAAAGAACAUAAAUAAACUACCCCUAACAAAUUCACACCAAUCAGUCCAUUCUGUUUGAGUUACUUCAAAUGAAAACAUAUUACUAUCAAAACCCAACUACUAUUUACAAAAGAGAAUAACUAAAUACACAAACACAGGAAUCUUCUCCCUUGAGAGUUGGUCUGACCCAAUGGUGCUGAUUAGUCCAAGUGAUCUGCUACAGCUGCUCCACCUCCAAGGCUACUGGCAACUCAAGAAAACAUUAAUCAUACAAACCCCUACAGACUGAGGCCCUGUCCACACGUAGCCGGGGAUCUGCCAAAACGUAGAUAUUUUUCUACGUUUUGGCCUGUCAUCCACACGAAAACGGAGUUUUUUCACACGAAAACGGAUCCUUUUAAAAACUCCGGCCAAAGUGAAGAUCUGCGUUUUCUCCGUUUUGGGUGUCUGCUUGUGGACAGACAAAACCGGAGUUUUAAGAACCGCAACGUCACUUUCCGCGACAAAAAAAUGCUGACAUCACGUGUGCGACCUGUGUUUACACUAGCCGACAGCUUGGAUGCCCUCAGAGCUGCGCUCGCUUUAUCAAUGGUCCAAGCGCUUUCUGCUUGUUUGUUUUUGCAAGAGGAAUUACUGCUCCUUGUGGAAGACCACAGACGAAGGACGAGGUCAAGAACGGGGGAAGUACUGCCGCCUACAGGUCUGGCAUGUCCUUAACAACGUAUUUAUCCGGGUAUGUGUGGACAGAGUUUUCUUUUAAAACGAGGUGGUGUGGAUGCAAGUUUUUGGAGGGGCGGAUAUUCGUUUUUAAAAAACCCGGCUACGUGUGGACUAGGCCUAAAACUGAUGAGUAACUGAACGUGUGCACUUCACACAGUCACCCAAACAGUCAGUCCAUGGAAACAAACACCUUUAUUCAAAAUAAAAGAAACAUUAACAGACAGUCAUUUACUGGGCAGCGGUCACAUAUGGGCAUAAGGGUUAGUGGGAUUUAUUAUGAGUGAGCUUGUUAUUAAUAGCAAUUGUUCUUACUCAGACUGUUGGCUUUCAUCACCUGUUAUCUUUGGAGGGGGGAUGGCGGUGCUGUUGAUACAUUUGAAGGAAGACCUCUCCUGACCGGUCAUAGACUUGUGGAGCCUGAAGCUGUCGCAGAGCCCUUGAGUCGGCAAAUGGCGGCGUUCCGUGUCUCCGCCCCCAUAACGGGGCGAGCACUUAACUCCCGUGCCACCGUCUCCCUACAUAAGGAACAUUUUUCUCUGAUUUGAUGAAUUAUUACAGAUGUGAGGUCAGCAAAACAGCGACCUGCAUCAAUAAAAGUUAGCUGGGUUUCUCACACACGAAUGACAUUAAAUUAUGAGUUUGUUUUGCAGCAUGCAAAAUCCCCGAUGCUGCUGCACCAACUGGUUUUAUAUCAUGAAGAGACUGGAAACCAUCAGACCAGAGAUGGUUGUUUGCAGCAGAGCUGGAGAAGGACGUUUGGGACCCAACAGCAGAGGAGGUGUGUAAAUGUUCUCCACAAGGUUUCAUGUGUUAGAUCAGAGGGUAAACACCUUCUUUAGAGGUUAUUAAAGCGAAAACCAGCUGAUGUGUGGCGUGAGGUGGGCGUGGCUCAGAGUUUAUUGUGUUUUAGCUCCAGUGAGAGCUGCAGCAUCUCCACUGGUUCUGCAGACCGUGCUCCAGUCUGGGUCAGACGUGUUUGUGUGACAGGAGCACAAGUGUUAAGUUUAAGGUAGAACUAAAGCAAACAUGGAGAAGGAUAAGAAACUUUAAUGAGUUUAUAAAUGAUCAAACAUGAGGUCUUAGUCGGCAUGAUAAACCAGUAGAGAACUCUAACUGGGGCGAGCCGGGGUAAUGGCUGGUGACACCAGGGCUGGCUACUGGAACAUCUGGAUCCACCUGCUCUCCUGACCAGGUGUGUUAGUCUACAGAGAAGUGGGCCAAAAGCCAAACAUUCCUCUUUACCUGCAGAGUUUACCGUUAACAUGAAUUAUAGUUGCUCUCUAUUCUGUUGUUCUAAGCCUGGGGGAGGUACCAAAAGCCUGGAAAGUCACUAAAACCAGCGGUCCAAAAAAAGCUGGUGCCACUGCUCCUAAAGAUUAGCUGGGUUGCUGAAGCGCUGGACCCACUCCCAUUUGCAUACAGAAGUAAGAGAGGCACUGGGGGCGCUGUGCUGACUCUGCUAAACACUCGAUGAGUCCAAAAACUCGAGAAUAUGUUUGUUGACUUUUGCUCAGCUUUAUACUCAAUGAAAACCCACAUCCUUUUAAAGAGGCUCAUUGUUCUUCACGUUAACUCCGGUCUGAUCCUUCGGAUCGGAGACUUUUUAACGUGGCGCCCACCGAGGGUCUACGGGGGGAUUUAUCUUUUUUUAUUUUUUACCGUGUCCUGUCUGGCUGUGAAGCAAGCAGAAUUGAUGUCUGAGUGUUGUUGACAAGCCUCACAGAUUUACUCUCAGGUGGAGCAUCAAAGUGUCUGCUUUAAUGUCACGCCUGAUACUUAAAACUUUAUUGUUAUUGUUUUUGAAUGCUUUGUAAUUCCGACCAGACACGGAGACAGAGGUGAAAGAGAAAGGAAAAGACAAAAGGUGGGGAGAGAGCGGGGGUGGGGUUCUUCUAGACCUGCAGAAAGAGAAAGAGCGGAAAAAAUAGGGACACACAACAAUACAUCAGGAGCAAGCUAUCACUGCGUCAACGUGAUGAUGAAAUAUAAAAUCAACAUUGUUUAACUGAACAAUCACACGAUAAUAAAUCACAGUGCAUUUAGUGCCAACCACAGCCUUAAGACAUGUGUUGAACGUGCCCAAGUCCAUACUUAUGAGAGCACCAUGUGAGCACCUGUGUGUGUACACGCGCUUGUUUAUGUAAGGUCUCUCUAUAGGAGCGUCCAAUAGAGAGUGUGAGGGG
rnacentral:lncRNA from 1 species